rnacentral:rRNA from 1 species
CAUGGCCCUUACAUCCCGGGCUACACACGUGCUACAAUGGCAGGUACAGAGGGCUGCAAAGCCGCGAGGUAGAGCGAAUCCCAGAAAACCUGUCUCAGUCCGGAUUGAAGUCUGCAACUCGACUUCAUGAAGGCGGAAUCGCUAGUAACCGCGAAUCAGCAGGUCGCGGUGAAUACGUUCCCGGGCCUU